rnacentral:tRNA from 1 species
GCACCCGUAGCUCAGCUGGAUAGAGCGUCAGUUUGCGGUACUGAAGGUCGUGCGUUCGAAUCGCGCCGGGUGUACCA